rnacentral:rRNA from 1 species
UACAGAGGGGGCAAGCGUUGUUCGGAAUUACUGAGCGUAAAGGGCGCGUAGGCGGCCUUCUAAGUCAGACGUGAAAUCCCUCGGCUCAACCGGGGAACUGCGUCUGAGACUGGAAGGCUUGAAUCCGGGAGAGGGAUGUGGAAUUCCAGGUGUAGCGGUGAAAUGCGUAGAUAUCUGGAGGAACACCGGUGGCGAAGGCGGCAUCCUGGACCGGUAUUGACGCUGAGGCGCGAAAGCCAGGGGAGCAAACGGG